rnacentral:tRNA from 1 species
ACACGGUGCAGCCAGGUGACGGGCGCGCCGUCUCCUGCGCGGCGGAACGGUUCGAGGGCGUCGUCCCAGGCGGCGCCGAGCA